rnacentral:rRNA from 1 species
GACGAACGCUGGCGGCGUGCCUAAUACAUGCAAGUCGAGCGGACAGAAGGGAGCUUGCUCCCGGAAGUUAGCGGCGGACGGGUGAGUAACACGUGGGCAACCUACCCUGUAGAUCGGGAUAACAUCGAGAAAUCGGUGCUAAUACCGGAUAAUCAUUUGAAGUGCAUGCUUCGAAUGUAAAAGAUGGCUCCGGCUAUCACUACGGGAUGGGCCCGCGGCGCAUUAGCUGGUUGGUAAGGAAAUGGCUUACCAAGGCAACGAUGCGUAGCCGACCUGAGAGGGUGAUCGGCCACACUGGGACUGAGACACGGCCCAGACUCCUACGGGAGGCAGCAGUAGGGAAUCUUCCGCAAUGGACGAAAGACUGACGGAGCAACGCCGCGUGAGUGAUGAAGGUUUUCGGAUCGUAAAGCUCUGUUGUUAGGGAAGAACAAGUGCCGUUUGAAUAAGGCGGCACCUUGACGGUACCUAACCAGAAAGCCACGGCUAACUACGUGCCAGCCGCCGCCGUAACAC